rnacentral:rRNA from 1 species
UCGAAACCUGCAAAGCAGACCCGUGAACAUGUUAAUCAAAUAUGUGGCUGUGAUUCUGGACGUCGUUGCGUCCAGCUCCAUGGUCCGUAACCCAAACGACGCAAGUCUGUUGGGUAACUAACCUCUCGGCGCGGCAAGCGUCAAGGAUAUACAGACCGAUCGCCUCUCCAAGUGGUGCCGUACGCGGCUCCCGAUAUGUGGAGGAGCAUCUAUCAAAAUAGUCGUAACGACUCUCGGCAACGGAUAUCUCGGCUCUCGCAUCGAUGAAGAACGUAGCGAAAUGCGAUACUUGGUGUGAAUUGCAGAAUCCCGUGAACCAUCGAGUCUUUGAACGCAAGUUGCGCCCGAAGCCAUCAGGCUGAGGGCACGUCUGCCUGGGCGUCACACAUCUCGUCGCCCCCCAAACAUCGUCUUCCCCCACUUAGUGUAGGGAAGUGACGCCUGAAAUGUGGGGGUGGAAAUUGGCCUCCCGUUAUCCAGUGUGUGGCGGCCGGCCUAAAUAUGAAACCGUGCCGAUGAAGGUGACACGAUAUGUGGUGGUUGGAUUCCUCAACUUGCAAACUAUCGUGAUGUUGCACUAUAUCGAGCCGGGUGUGGACCCAAUGGCUGAAAAUGCCCUCGACUGUA